CUUGAGAAUUAUGUGCCUCGCCUGCUCAGACUGUACCGGGCUAGAAAGGGAGCUAUUGGUCAGCAGAUAGAAGACUUCCUGGAUAAGCUUGAUGAACAAACAUCAGACAUUGUGUCUCACCGAAAGAUGACAGCACUGAGAUGCCUCCCCGUUUUUGUCUGGGACGACACAACUAAGUGUGGAGAGACGCAGCCGACGGGCCGACAGCGGGCGGACAGAGGCGUUCUGGACCAAGAUGAAGGCCAGGAGGCGGGGCAUGCGGCGUGACGCACGCGGAGCGGCAGGAGGACGGCCAUCGGAGUCAGGUGCGUAGAACACACAUCUGCUCACAAUCUGCGCAUCUGCUCCUAGCCUUUAAGAGAGGCGAAGGGGGCACGAUUGCGAGAGGGAAGACAGGAAAGGAAAGGAAACCACGGCAGCCCGACCACGAGCCCGACGACAGAGAGCAGUCCGCAAUGAGUCCCCGCCACAGACGCAGCAGGCGAGCACCAAAGGGUGCAGCGCGACCAGGAAGAGGUGCCAGCGCACUAGAAAUGGGUGCGCCCGACUGGCCCGAAGAAAGGUUGUUUGAACCAAUAAAUGGGAAUCAAACCUG